CAGUGAGAAAGAGGUGGCGUGCGAUCGCGAGAUAAGCUAAGCGAAUUUCCCAAGCAGAAAUGCGUAAUGCCGUGCACGCGCCCGCCCUCUCCGCCUGUGCGGCUCCGCCGCUCGCCGCCCGAGCUACCCGCUGCCGCUUCCUCCGGUGCUCAGCCCCCCUGCGCUGCUUGUCCUGCAGUUAGGCUUGGUGGAAAGGUUGGGACAGUUCAGCAUUGUUUUGGCGCUGGGUAGUUUGGUUGCCGGUGCCCGCAUAGUGUUCGACCUAAUGUCGCGCGCGAUGCAGCGCAGCUAUCCAUGGAAGCCAGAUGUUGGAGUUCGAACUGCUAAGGUUCUAUAGGAUUCUGUGGUGUCGACUAUGUUCAUGAAGGAACUAUCGGUGCGUGUUACUGCCUAUGGGGAUGAGACGUGUCUAGGGUCAGAAUUCAAAUCAUGAGCUUAGUUCUGAGUAUCACUGGCCAUGGCAGGCUUACUCUGUUAUGGUCUUCCAUGUGCAUUCCAUUAUCUGGACAUAGAUUAGAUUUCAAUACAUAUAUCCUUCUUCUUUUUGGCUUGUUGGUACAUUACAAUCCUACACGAUCUUUUUGGACUGAAAGAGAUUUUUGUUCAAAUUCACUGUCCUGUCCAGAUGAUGGGAAUGGGAUUGAAUGGGGUUAAAGUGUAUCCGAACAAGCCUUGGUGUUCACAGUAUUGUUGUGUAACUUUACACGAAGGUAGGAAGCCUAUGGAAGCCAAGUCUUUGCUGGGCUUUGGUUAAGCCAGCUGCUUGUAUGUUUGGCGUCAUGCAUGUUCCAGGUCAGCAACUCAUUGGCAUGAAAUUCCAAUGUUCAAACUACAUCAAAUUUACCAUGGGUAAAAGCAUAUAUAUUCAGGCAUUCUGGUCAGUGGGAUAGGUAGCUUGACUUUUUUCUACUGUUUGAGUUAGCUGAACUGUUGAAUUUUAUAUUAAAAAUUCCACUGUAGUGUAAUUUAUCUUGUAUAUCAAUUGAACAGUUAUGACCAAUCUAUGCAACUAAUCCGGAGGUAGAAUAUGUGUGCUCAUAUUGUCGUCUUGGUUACUUACUGAGCAAGGUUCAGAGGCACAACAUGCUUUUUGUAUCAACGGAUCAAAGCAAUAUCCACAAUCCCUUUUAAUUUUACAUGUUCAGAGUACACUCACUAACAACUAAUUUUCGAAAUGGGCUCCAAUUGCGAAAUGUUUGUGAACAAUUUUUUAGUAAGAUUAUAGACAAAUUUUCCGUGGGCCUUUCUUGUUAGAGGGAAUGAUGACGGAAAAUGGUAGAUUGGAUCCCAUUUCGAAAUUAGUUGUUAGUGAGUGUACUACGCAAUUUUCUUUGAAACAGCGGUUCUAAUAACAGAUUAUAUUAACUCAAUAUCUCAUAUCUGGGCAUGGUCUCGCCAUUUAUUAGAGGAAAUCUAAUCUAUAAACCUGGUUUUACUAUUCGCAAAACUUUGGAUCGAUUAUGUACAUACCACAGUUGCAGUCAACAUGCCUGGAGAUCUUCACCAAUUUGGUUUCAGUUGAUCCUCUGUUAUUUGGUUAUUAGUAAUGUGUUGACUGAGCAUCCCCAGAAACAGACAAAUGCUGUUAUUUCUAAAUCUAGUUGACUGUUUGAGGCGAUUAACUUGGAUUUUAGUCGAUUAAUUCAUGUGGUUGACCUCACCUAAUGUGAACUACGGAGAUGACCUUCAUUAGGCCUCUUGGUGUCCAGGUUUUAUCCUUCGAGCUCACAACCUCUAUGCAAAGACGCUCCAGUCAACAAUGGAGUGCUGUUUAAGGAUUUAUGAGAAUUACAUUACAAUAUUAUUUUCUGCUCAUAUAAAUUGUAAGCUAAUUUGGGAACAUUUGGGAAAUGAAACUUGUAGUAGCUAUACAAAAAUGUGUUAUGCUAUUUUACUGGAACAUAUUAGGUAUGUUUACCUCAGUUAUACAAUUCAACAUGAAUUUCAGCAAGAGUACAAGACCCAUUUCAUCUGAUCAGAGUGGUCGGGAAAACUUAGCUUAACACCGAGAUGAUAUGAUCAGCUAGCUGCCAUUUAGUUGCUUCGCUUUCCCAAGUCCCAACGAAUACCAGUCCAAAUGUAAGUAUAUCGACCAUUAGACAUCUACAAGACUACAACCAUUGAGCUGAUAUUUGAAUAUUACAUCCGAAUUUGUUCUUCUGUAACUCACAUGUAACCAAGUCACAAAAUGUUAUUUACUUUGAAGACAAUGGUUUGCAUGACUUUGAGAUCUGCCAUCAAACAGUGCUGAGAAAUUACAGCAGUUAAAAACUUAAAACGCUUAAAAGAAAAUCCAAGAGAGAAAAAUAUGGUUGGGUCCAGUCAAAGUCAAGAAGAGAGAGGCCGCUUACCUGUAACUAGGCCAAUCCCUUCUUUUAUAUAAUCAUCAUCAUGGGAGGAUGACAAAGAUUUCACUGUUUAAGUAGACAUUAGAUUAUCUUAGGAUGCUUACAAUAUGUAGUCGAUGACGCGCACGAGUGCACUUCCCGAGCUUUCCAGCUAUAUGCGCCGAAUCAUAUCACGAGGUGCAUGCAAAAAAUAUUAACCCUUGCAUUCUGAUCUCGAGGUGAUCUGACUAGGCAUUACUGAGGGCUUCAUUAGUAAAAGUAGAAUUGCUCAACUUCCAAUGGUUAAAGUUUUUUUAAUUCUGUUCUUAACACUUCCUUGUGAAGCAAUAUGUAAGCAAACAAGAUGCACCAGGGUUGUCGUGCACCAAUAUGAUUGAUUGCAAGAGACUGCUAUAGUCUCAAGAAGCCUGUUCCCUUUUCCUGACGUUUUUGUGUAGGCAUGAAAUGGGCAAUGGAAGAAGAUCUACAGUUGAUUCCAGCUGUGGCUAGAUAUGACGAUCACAAUGGAAUGCUUGCCUUCAAUUUCAAAACAAGUGCUCUGUAAUCCAGAUUGGGGAGGUAAAAGGAAAUAUCGUAAACUUAUUCCUUGCUUAGUUGGAAAAACAAAACACUCUUUGGACUAGGUUGUUGAAUACUCAAACUCAUGUGUUGAUUUUUUACAGUGGUUUUACUUGUGUCAAGAAUUGAAAAAUAUAACAUAACGGCUCUCAUUUUUCGGUAUUAAUCUUAAUUAAUAACCUGCAAAACCAUUGUGGAGUGCAUUUGGUUUCUGACCAAUAAAAGCUUUUAUU